rnacentral:lncRNA from 14 species
AUGUUUAGUACAACUAAUACUGUCUUAUUUGCCACUCUUACAGGAAUUCCAUAUAAACAACUGACUGUGGGUGUCCCCAAGGAGAUAUUUGAGAAUGAGAAGAGAGUGGCUCUGUCACCGGCUGGAGUUCAAGCCUUGGUUAAGCAAGGCUUCAAUGUUGUGGUGGAAUCUGGUGCUGGAGAAGCUUCUAAAUUUUCUGAUGACCAUUACAGAGAAGUUGGAGCAAAGAUUCAGGGGACCAAGGAAGUCUUGGCUUCUGAUUUGGUUGUGAAAGUGAGAGCUCCUAUAUAUAACUCAUCUCUAGGUGUACAUGAGGCAGAUCUUUUCAAGACAGCAGCAACCCUGAUUAGUUUUAUCUACCCAGCACAAAAUCCAGAUCUCCUGAAAAAACUUGCAGAAAAAAAAGCUACUGUUUUGGCUAUGGAUCAGGUUCCACGGGUCACCAUUGCUCAGGGAUAUGAUGCACUUAGCUCCAUGGCCAACAUUGCUGGUUACAAGGCUGUGGUCCUGGCAGCAAAUCACUUUGGUCGAUUUUUCACGGGUCAAAUCACAGCUGCUGGUAAAGUUCCUCCAGCAAAGGUGCUGAUCAUUGGAGGAGGGGUUGCUGGCCUGGCUUCUGCAGGAGCAGCAAAAUCAAUGGGUGCAGUGGUUCGUGGAUUUGAUACUAGAGCUGCAGCCCUAGAACAGUUCAAGUCUCUUGGUGCUGAGCCAUUGGAAGUAGACAUAAAGGAAUCUGGAGAGGGACAAGGAGGUUACGCUAAAGAAAUGUCCAAAGAAUUUAUUGAAGCUGAAAUGAAACUCUUUGCCAAACAGUGCCAAGAUGUUGACAUUAUCAUCACUACAGCACUUAUUCCAGGUGGCUUUUUAGUUACACAGAGAAUGCUGGAUAUGUUCAAACGUCCCACAGACCCUCCUGAGUACAACUACUUGUACCUGCUCCCUGGUGGUGUAUUUGUAGGAGGCUAUGCAGCUGCUCUCAGCAGUGGCUAUUACAUUGAACAAGUGAUGUAUCUGGGUUCUGGACUGUGCUGUGUUGGUGCCCUGGCUGGUUUGUCUACCCAAGGAACAGCUCGUCUGGGAAAUGCUUUGGGUAUGAUUGGUGUUGCAGGAGGUUUAGCCGCAACUCUUGGAAGCCUCAAUCCCACUCCUGCAUUGUUGGCACAGAUGUCAGGUGCAAUGGCACUUGGUGGGACAAUAGGUUUGACAAUUGCUAAACGCAUCCAGAUUACAGAUCUGCCUCAGCUGGUGGCUGCUUUCCACAGUUUGGUUGGUUUGGCUGCUGUGCUCACCUGUGUAGCAGAGUACAUGAUUGAAUAUCCUCACUUCUCCGGCAACCCUGCUGCAAACCUCACCAAGAUUGUGGCAUAUCUUGGCACGUACAUUGGUGGAGUCACAUUCAGUGGCUCUCUUGUUGCAUAUGGAAAACUGCAAGGUAUCCUGAACUCUGCACCUCUGCUCUUGCCUGGUCGGCAUGCAUUGAAUGCAGGAUUGCUGGCUGCCAGCUUUGGAAUUACUUGCCUGGGUUCUGUGUCAGCAUUGUCAGCCAUAAUGGGUGUUACUUUAACAGCAGCUAUUGGAGGUGCUGACAUGCCUGUAGUUAUUACUGUCCUGAACAGUUACUCUGGAUGGGCUUUGUGUGCUGAGGGCUUUCUCCUGAACAACAACUUGCUGACCAUUGUUGGUGCGCUCAUCGGCUCCUCUGGGGCCAUCCUCUCUUACAUCAUGUGUGUGGCUAUGAACCGUUCCCUUGCAAAUGUGAUUCUUGGGGGCUAUGGCACUGCAUCAACAGCUGGUGGGAAACCUAUGGAAAUUACUGGAACUCACACAGAAAUCAAUUUGGACAAUGCAGUUGAAAUGAUAAAAGAAGCUAAUAGCAUUAUUAUUACUCCAGGUUAUGGCUUGUGUGCAGCAAAAGCUCAGUACCCAAUAGCUGAUCUGGUGAAGAUGUUGAGAGAACAAGGGAAAAACGUCAGGUUUGGUAUUCACCCUGUGGCUGGCCGUAUGCCUGGUCAGCUGAAUGUACUGCUAGCAGAAGCUGGUGUUCCCUAUGAUAUUGUACUGGAAAUGGAUGAAAUCAAUGAAGACUUCCCAGAGACUGACUUGGUCCUUGUAAUUGGUGCAAAUGAUACAGUUAAUUCAGCAGCUCAGGAAGAUCCAAACUCUAUCAUAGCUGGAAUGCCAGUUCUUGAGGUCUGGAAGUCCAAACAGGUCAUUGUAAUGAAGAGAUCUCUGGGAGUUGGUUAUGCAGCGGUGGACAAUCCCAUCUUCUACAAGCCCAAUACUGCCAUGUUGUUGGGCGAUGCUAAAAAGACCUGUGAUGCCCUGCAGGCCAAAGUCAGGGAAUCGUACCAAAGCUAA